rnacentral:rRNA from 1 species
UACGUAGGGUGCAAGCGUUGUCCGGAUUUAUUGGGCGUAAAGAGCUCGUAGGCGGUUUGUCGCGUCGGAUGUGAAAACCCAGGGCUCAACCCUGGGCCUGCAUUCGAUACGGGCAGACUAGAGUGUGGCAGGGGAGACUGGAAUUCCUGGUGUAGCGGUGAAAUGCGCAGAUAUCGGGAGGAACACCAGUAGCGAAGGCGGCACUCUGGGCCGGAACUGACGCUGAGGAGCGAAAGCGUGGGGAGCGAACAGG